rnacentral:lncRNA from 7 species
AGUUCAACAAAAACCCCUCUUAAGUAUGCUUGCCAAAGGCCAACGAAGAACUAUUGACUGCUGUAGGAACUAGAAGCUACCCAUAAAGAUAUGAAUGCUUUGGAGGCUUUUUCAGCCCCCACCAUCUCAAAUGAUAAGUCUUUUGUAGAGAGAAGAUGCGCAGUGAUGCCUUGUGUGAGAAAUUUUUUGAUAUCAUGAGUUACUGGAGGCUAUGGAGAAAAACAUUCUUCCUAUGCCAAGUGUUCUUUUAUUAAGAGAGAGAAAAAAUGAUAGUAUUUUAUGGGCAAUAUUUUACUGCACAUUGCUUAUAGCUGUUUCCAUGAAUACAUUAAAUGCUGAAGUGACAAUAAUGUGCACAAAAAAUGCUUUUGGACUUCUUAAGGAGAUGAGCAUAGCUGUGGAAAUCUGAGUUCUGCCAGAGAAGAGAAGAAUGAAUGGAUCCAACUAAAACUGCAAGGGGAAGUCGAUUAAAUGGACUGUAAAUUUGCAUGGUAGAAUUAGGCAAAGAUGCUAAUGGUAAUACUGCUUGUGUUGCAUCAAGUUACAGAACACUUUUUUUCUUUUCUGUUACUUUAGGAUCCAGUUGCAUAUUUUGCUCAAAGGUAUGUGCAUCCCACACACCUCUACUUCAUGGCACAAUGCUUUUUAACAACUUACAGCAGGAUUGUUACAGUACUGGCUCAGAACUAUGACUGUAAUUUAGUAAGUAACCAGCAGUACAUGUGGGCCAAGAGAGCUUGCAUAUGCUGGAGGUCAGAAAGCACAAAACAGUGACACUAACCAAAAUGUGUUGGAGUGAGUGUAAUAAAGACUAAAAAGAUGCAUGUCUGGUCAUGUACGUUAAGAAACCAUAGGGGAAACAUGAGAAUGCUAUCAUGGGACACAGUGUAGAUCAAGGAGACUUGAGAUAUAGUCCAGCUUCUAAGGAAGUACUUUGUCUAUUUUAUAU